GCUUACGGCCACACCCUCCCUGAGCACGCCGAUCUCGUCUGAUCUCGGAAGCUAAGCAGGGUCGGCCCGGUAGUACUUGGAUGGGAGACCGCCUGGGAAUACCAGGUGCUGUAAGCC
rnacentral:rRNA from 1 species